rnacentral:rRNA from 1 species
UACGUAGGGUCCGAGCGUUGUCCGGAAUUAUUGGGCGUAAAGAGCUCGUAGGCGGUUUGUCGCGUCUGCUGUGAAAUCCCGAGGCUCAACCUCGGGCCUGCAGUGGGUACGGGCAGACUUGAGUGGUGUAGGGGGAGACUGGAAUUCCUGGUGUAGCGGUGGAAUGCGCAGAUAUCAGGAGGAACACCGAUGGCGAAGGCAGGUCUCUGGGCACUUACUGACGCUGAGGAGCGAAAAGCGUGGGGGAGCGAACAGG